rnacentral:lncRNA from 1 species
GUUGUGAGAACCCGCUGGAAAAGCCGCGAGUUCUUGGCUACGUGGCGCGGUUGUUGGCCCGGCGCGGCCAGUGCUACUGGGGGCGUCCCUCUCUGGCCCUCCCAGGGACAAGUGACUUGAUGGUAGAUUUUGCCAAGCCCCUCACAUGAUUCUAUGAAACUCAUGGGAGCGAGGAACAGCUGCUGCGCGGAGGUGGCAGUGUGUGUGCUAAAUCCCUUUAGUUCCUGCUCUGCUUUUCCUCCAGAAAGGGAUGAGCGUCUAACAGGGGCCCCGGUCUGAACCCGCCUGCCAAAGUGAGGUUUGCUCACAUCCAACCCCUGACAGCUCCAGGGUGCUGUUACUGCGAGCAGGGCACCGGCCCUCCGGCCCGAAGCAGGGCAGGGACAUGAGGGAGAACGCGCCCUGUCCCUCCCACCUCCUCCGGACUCGGCCCCUGGAGGGGCUGACGCUGGAAGACCUGACAUCGUCGCUUCUGAUGUUCAUGGCUUUUGACCCAUGUUCAGGUUUGAAAUCUCUUACCCAGUUUAAGAACGGGAUGAACUCUCCUCGUUUAAAGGAGAGAAUGAAGAACGCUGAACGCAAAUCUCCGUCCUUGUGCGCAUAAAUCUGAGGCGACAGGAAGAAUGUGGAGGCAAACCUGGCUCUUCUCAGUACUGCUGGAGCCACCCACCGCUCUGCCAUUCAGGAACUCUGCGCGGGUGCCAGGUGCCACGCGCGGUGCUGCCCCCGCACUCCCCUCGAGCUGUGCGAACUGUAGGAAGGAGAAGCUGGUGGGGUGGAGAGCAACAGGGAGAGACCCAUGUUCGGGGUCAGACGGGAGCAGCUGCAGGAAGUUCUGGGGGAGGGGAAGGGGGAUUAUGACCAGAUGGAAAUGAAAGGAAACGGGAGACUGUAUUAAUAAACUAGCAGCUUUAUUGCCCUUCAGGGGCCAUGUCUUCACUUGAGAUGUCGAAUUGCUUGAGGGAGGAAAACCUGUAAGAAAUGAUGGAGAUCAGGGAACAGGCCUUGGGGAUCCUGGAGCGGGGUCACAGUGAGCAUUCGGUCAGCCGGGGAGACAGACGCCACAAAGCUCAGCAGGGGCUCAGUUUCUGGCCUCUCUUCGCCACCACUCAGUCCUUUCAGCUCCUGGGUGACCUGAGCCUCAGUCGCCAGCCACCCUGCUCUUGUGCCAGCGCCACCUCCAGCUCCCUCCUUGGUUUGCUGCUGCAAGCGUCUACGGGCUCGCCGCCGCCCUUGCCACACUCGGUGCCACAAGGCACAGCGCCAGCUCGCUGAGGAGGGCAGGGAUGCCCCCUUCCCUGCCUCACCCUGAGACCAUUCUUGGGCUGCCUCAUGUCCCUUGGGCCCCCGCUCUGCCAGGGCUGCGUGGCUGGGCUGCCCCUCUUCUCCAGGGGCUCCAUGCUUUCCAGUGGUCAGGGGCAGGUCCCCUGGCUGCCCAGGGCUCUGCAUGGCCCAGUCCUGCACCAUCUCUCCAACCUCUAUAACCAUCUCUUCUACCCUGUCUUCCCCACCGUCCCCUGCACAUCCCUGCUGCUCCUCUUUCCCCUCCUCACAGCAGUUUUUCUGUCCAUCUACUUUGAGUCUUUUGCUUGUCCCUCCCUGAGAGGACUCCCCAGUUCCACCUCCUUCUGACCGCGUUCUCUUGGUUGCCUGUUCUAUAUGGCACCCCAGUGCUUCCCUGAAUACCUGCACCAGGGCAGCAGUGAGCUGGGUGAAGGGUGCAAGGGGUAAAGGGAUCGGCGUAGCAGAGAGCAGGGAGCUGGGGGAGCUGGGCUGCAGAAGAGGGAGCAGCCCCCAGUCCCGACCCCGGGAGGAACGGCGCUGGUACUGGAGGCUUCGGCAGUAAUUGGCUGCUGCUCGGCAGCAGUUCUGUAGGCGCCCAGCCACCCGGCUGGUCACAUUGGCUGCGACAUUGUGACUCAGGUCAAAAGGGUCCUGGAGAUUCAGGGGGCCAAGGCGCAGACCCUCCCAGAGAUUAGAAGGCAGGCCCCCUGCCACAGGCAGUGCCUGACCCUCCCGCAGGGACAGCAGGG